UGUAACCGUCUUUAUGUGGCUCUGAAGGUUCAGGUCCAAACCCAGAUUUCAGGCCUUGUGGAGCUCCAGCACCUUUAAGGUGUAGAUGAGCCACUUUCCUCUUGCUCACCUGGUCUUUUAUCUCCUGAAUCUGCAGAAAGGUCAAAGGUUAAUGAAGAGCUAAUGGAGGUUUCCUGAUGCUGUGAAGCAGCAGCAGAUCUGACAGCAGCUAGCAGCUUUAGCUGAGGACAGUUUGGACAGGCUGGUUAUUAGAGCCUCGCCUUACGGAGAGGGAAAACAUUUCCUGAAGCUGUUUUCUCCUCGGCUGUCGGCUCAGCAGCAGCCGAGGAAUAAACUCCCCGGGUUUAUUUCUGCUCCUCACGAAUCUGUCUUUUAAAAUCCAGAACGGGGAUAAAAUGUUCUGGUAUGAAAAGCUGUGAACCUGACCGCAGGUCUCGAUCUCAGACUUUUAAAACUCUGAUCCAAACCAAGGUUAUUAUAGUUCACUAAAACUAACAAAAUAACAAAAGCUGAAAUUAAGAAAACAUUUUCUGAAAUAAAGAAAAACAGAAAUUAAUAGGGAAAAACUUGAACUUGAACUGGAACUAUACUGUGUGUUUAUAAAGUUAAAACAUACCAAAAUUAUAGAUAUAUCCUUUGUUUUUAUGUUUAUAAAUGCAUUUAUUAGCCUUUCAAGCUGAAAAAGGAUUGGGAAGGAGCAGCGCCACACCAAAUUGUGAUUGACAGUGCUAAGACCAGCCUUUUUGCUCUGAUUGGUUGAUUCUAAUUAGCACUGGGAAAAGGCAGAGAAUCUCAUAUUAAAUUAUCACGAUAUAGUGACAGUUUCAACAAAUAUGUAAAAUAUAUUUUUUUUCUGAAAGUUAGUCACUGCAGCUUUAAAGAACCUGCGUUUGAAUCAGAACCGCAUUAAUAUGCGGGAGCCAAAGGCAGAACCGCAGCUGAUUCUCCCAGAGAGCUCAGAUCUGAUCCGUUCGGCCCUGAACUGGGGAGGAAGAGGAGGCGUCGCUGCUGCUCGGGGGGACGAAGACGGCUCCGGACUCCUGGGACAGCAGAGAGCUGCUGGUAAACAACCAGAACCGGGCCGACUGCUGCAGGUUGAAUGAACCAAAAUAUUUCUGGAGCCGAUCUUGCAGCAGGUGGAUGUUUGGACGGAUGACUCAGAGAGUGAAGUCAAACGCUGCGACACCUGGUGAAAUAUUUACGGUCCUGGAGGAGCGGCAGCCGGCAACAGUCGGUCGGUGAGGAAGCAGCUGAAGCUCAGCUGGUGAGGCAGCAGCGAGCCGAGCCUGGGAUCGAUCAACUUCUGCUCUGGCUGCCAGUCAGCAUGAUCCUCCUGUCUGUCACCAACUGAACAACAACACUGGUUAAACUUUAGCUUUAAUAACAUAAAGCUACAUCAUUUUUAAAGUUUAAUCAGUAAUACUUUUAUAACAAAU